rnacentral:rRNA from 1 species
AUUGAACGCUGGCGGCGUGCUUAACACAUGCAAGUCGAGCGGUAAGGCCCUUUCGGGGGUACACGAGCGGCGAACGGGUGAGUAACACGUGGGUGACCUGCCCUCAGCUCUGGGAUAAGCCUGGGAAACCGGGUCUAAUACUGGAUAUGACUCCAUGACGCAUGUUGUGGGGUGGAAAGCCUUGUGCGGCUGAGGAUGGGCCCGCGGCCUAUCAGCUUGUUGGUGGGGUGAUGGCCUACCAAGGCGACGACGGGUAGCCGGCCUGAGAGGGCGACCGGCCACACUGGGACUGAGACACGG